GACGAACGCUGGCGGCGUGCUUAACACAUGCAAGUCGAACGCUGAAGCCCAGCUUGCUGGGUGGAUGAGUGGCGAACGGGUGAGUAACACGUGAGUAACCUGCCCCCUUCUUUGGGAUAACGCCCGGAAACGGGUGCUAAUACUGGAUAUUCACUGGCCUUCGCAUGGGGGUUGGUGGAAAGGUUUUUUCUGGUGGGGGAUGGGCUCGCGGCCUAUCAGCUUGUUGGUGGGGUGAUGGCCUACCAAGGCUUUGACGGGUAGCCGGCCUGAGAGGGGGACCGGUCACAUUGGGACUGAAAUACGGCCCAUACUCCUACGGGAGGUAUCAGUGGUGAAUUUUGCAUAUGGGCUAAAGCCUGAUGCAUCGACGCCGGGUGAGGAUGACGGCCUUCUGUUUGUUUACCUCUUUUUCUAUUGUUCAAUCCGCUGGUUUGGUUGUGGUUGGUGGUUUUGGUGAAUGGUGGUUGGCUUUCUGCUUUCUGGUUUUCAAUGCAGAUGUGCGGC
rnacentral:rRNA from 1 species